rnacentral:lncRNA from 1 species
UCUAUUAGAAACGUCGAAAUCAGGAAAAUCGAACUUGUGAUGGUUCGACAAUCCACUAAAUUGGAGAGAACAAGAUUGUGAUUAGUGCUAUGGGAAUGAAUCAUCCAUAAGCAUCAAAGUUAGAACAUUCAAGUUCUAAGACAUAGUUUUCAUAGGUAUAUUGUUUUAUGAAAACUUCGGGUUUCAAAUGCACUAAAUUUGAAAGUACAGGUUCAAUUUAGUUUAUGAACGUUUAGUUCAUAAAAGAGAGGUUCCUGCAAGAACACAUAAUGCAAUAUACAACUAAGUGUAGUGGAUUUGAGUUUCUUUGGGAACUCAAGUGUGAGGGCUUCGUUACUACGAAAGUAUGUGACGAUUCAAAGUAUAAAAAUAAAUUAUUGAAUCAUUAAUGUCCAAAAGUGAUCUUUAGGUCAAUAAUUUUGGAUUCAUUAUCAGAUUAAUGAACUGCAGGUCACCUUUAAUUAAUUAAAUAAAUCAGGACCAAACGGGGUCGAUUGUAAAAGCAAAGUAAUAUUAUAAUAAUAGAAUGGGUCGAAAAUAUAGCCCCAAAACUAUUAAGGCUGGGUGCCGUAAGUAGGCAAUGCCCUAGGGGGUAUACGGGCUCGGGUUAAGGCUGCAAAAUCAGCCUGUGGAUUGGUCUUCAGGCCACAGGUCAAUUUUAAGAGCCCAAUAGCAACGACUACUGGCGUUUGGGCCAGGGGGUUGGGCACGGGAGCAGGCCUAGCAAGAUUGCUAGCCUGGUUGUGGUGCGGG